rnacentral:rRNA from 1 species
CUACGGGCGGCUCCAGUGGGGAAUAUUGCACAAUGGACGAAAGUCUGAUGCAGCAACGCCGCGUGGAGGAUGACACAUUUCGGUGCGUAAACUCCUUUUAUAUAGGAAGAUAAUGACGGUACUAUAUGAAUAAGCGCCGGCUAACUCCGUGCCAGCAGCCGCGGUAAUACGGAGGGCGCAAGCGUUACUCGGAAUCACUGGGCGUAAAGAGCGUGUAGGCGGAUAGAUAAGUCAGGAGUGAAAUCCUAUGGCUCAACCAUAGAACUGCUCUUGAAACUGUCUAUCUAGAAUAUGGGAGAGGUAGAUGGAAUUGCUGUUGUAGGGGUAAAAUCCGGAGAGAUCAGAAGGAAUACAGAUUGCGAAGGCGAUCUACUGGAACAUUAUUGACGCUGAGACGCGAAAGCGUGGGGAGCAAACAGGAUUAGAUACCCGUGUAGUC